ensembl:lncRNA
GAAAUAUUGAAUUUAUCUUUUUCUUCGGAAUCUGAUGGUUGCUAAGGAAACCACUUGCAUUUUAUUGACUAGCCUGGCCUUGGUACUGUUGUCGCCUUAGACUUACCUGAAUACGUGGGCUCAUUUGGAUCUGGCAGUGUUCUCCAGGCCUGCCCUACUUCCUUUCUCAGGCCCAACUUUAAUGGGAGCUGUUCCUGCACUCUGCUGUUGGCCCUUGCUGCUCCAGUACAGCAUGCACAUCUGAGUCACUUAACUUGAUAGGCACUCUUCCAGCUGAAAAUUCUUCAAAUGGGAGCAAAAGGAAGGUUUCCUGUGAUCACAGCCACAACCUGGAUCUACUCUUUGGUGCAAACUUUUGCAGGGUUGUUCCAGGAUGAAGAGGCUAUAAAGUGAACAAGUAGGUCAGUGCUUGCUGCGCUUGGUGGAAAUCUUGCCUUGCCUCUCUGUGAGGUGUCACUGUGGAGUUUAUCUCUGAAGGGGAAUACAAAUAGUACUGAAAAGGAAGACUGAGUGAAGAAGUUCUUUGCUGCAAAGCAGCUUUGGCCUGGCAGCCUCAGAAGGACCUUGGGGCCCAGAGCUCUGCUUGAAGAAGUCAGCUGGAGCACGCAGCAGUGAUAUGGUGGCUGGUUUCCUCACCUGCUUUGAGCCCAGAAACAGCAUCAGGAUCAGAGCUGAAGUGAUGGCAAGCUGGAAACAGGCUGUAAUGAGCUGAAAAGAAGGAGCAUGAAGGAGAUCAAUUUAAAUCAAGAAACAGUACUAAAUAGAGCAUUAAUUUAUGGAUAAUAGCAGAAAAAGCAAAGAGAAGAGAAAUGGAUGCUUUUAACGUAG